GAGCGAGCCUGGAGGAUGUCGCCAACUGUGAUCGGAUUUCUCCUCAUCUUGCUUCCAUAUGGAGCUAAGAGUGUGACGUUUCAGCCGACUCAUCCAAGAAUAGUCAAUGACAAAGCCAGGGUAGACAUUAAAUGCAGUCAUAACGAUAACAACCAGUAUGCAAUGCUCUGGUACCAGCAAAAAGAAAGAGGUCUGAUGAAUUUAAUUGGAUACAGCUACACUGGCAGUCAACCCAACUAUGAGAAGCAGUUUGAAGAUCGGUUUGCAAUAACAAGACAAGACAUUGUAACAGGAGCUCUGAUUAUUCACAGUGUGAAUCUAUCAGACUCGGCUGUGUAUUUCUGCGCUGCCAGUACAGGCCGCAAUGCAAACCAGGCUUACUUUGGAAAAGGAACCAAACUGACAGUUUUAGAAGACGGUCUUAAUAUCACCCCACCAACAGUGCAAGUGCUUCGACCUUCAUCAAAGGAGUGUGGAAACGACGAUGCACCGAAGAAGACCAUCGUGUGUGUGGCCAGCGGAUUCUACCCAGACCACGUCAGUGUAUCCUGGCAGGUCGACGGGGAGGCCGUCACCACUGGUGUGGCCACAGACAACGCUGCCCUGCGGGAAGACGACUUUUACAAAAUCACCAGCAGGCUGAGGGUCUCCACCAAAAACUGGUUCAAUCCUGAAACAGUAUUCACCUGCACCGUCAGCUUCUACAAUGGGACACACACUGAAACGUAUUCUGACUCUCUUCAUGGGGAAGAAGGAGGAGGCAUGACGAGAGAGAAAUAUUUGAGGAGCACACAGACUGCCAAACUCUCCUACGGUGUUUUCAUCAUCAAGAGCAGCAUCUAUGGAGCCUGUGUAGCGUUUCUGGUGUGGAAGCUGCAGAGAUCAGCUGGGAAGCAGAACCACUGAGAGCUGAGAGCUGAACAAUAGAUGUUGGACCUCAAUAAUGUUGGUUUCUGGAAAAUGUUACAUAUUCACAACAGCUAAAAUAGAUUUCCAGUUUUAUGCAUAUUCUUGCUGAAGCUAAUUAGCAAAUACUUUGCAUCACAUCUUUAAAAUACUUAUAAUUGAUUUUGUAUCGCUUGUUUGCUAAAUUUCCUUUUCAAUAAAGUGUUAAAAGAUCUCAA